CAGUCGCCACGGUAAUACGUAGGGUGCGAGCGUUAAUCGGAAUUACUGGGCGUAAAGCGUGCGCAGGCGGUUGUGUAAGACAGGUGUGAAAUCCCCGGGCUUAACCUGGGAACUGCGCUUGUGACUGCACAGCUAGAGUAUGGCAGAGGGGGGUGGAAUUCCACGUGUAGCAGUGAAAUGCGUAGAGAUGUGGAGGAACACCGAUGGCGAAGGCAGCCCCCUGGGCCAAUACUGACGCUCAUGCACGAAAGCGUGGGGAGCAAACAGGAUUAGAUACCCGGGUAGUCCCUGUCUCUUAUAA
rnacentral:rRNA from 1 species